rnacentral:rRNA from 1 species
GACGAACGCUGGCGGCGUGCUUAACACAUGCCAGUCGAACGGAAAGACCCUGCUUUUGUGGGGUGCUCGAGUGGCGAACGGGUGAGUAACACGUGAGUAACCUGCCCUUGACUUUGGGAUAACUUCAGGAAACUGGGGCUAAUACCGGAUAGGAGCUCCUGCUGCAUGGUGGGGGUUGGAAAGUUUCGGCGGUUGUGGAUGGACUCGCGGCUUAUCAGCUUGUUGGUGGGGUAGUGGCUUACCAAGGCUUUGACGGGUAGCCGGCCUGAGAGGGUGACCGGCCACAUUGGGACUGAGAUACGGCCCAGACUCCUACGGGAGGCAGCAGUGGGGAAUAUUGCACAAUGGGCGGAAGCCUGAUGCAGCAACGCCGCGUGCGGGAUGACGGCCUUCGGGUUGUAAACCGCUUUCGCCUGUGACGAAGCGUGAGUGACGGUAAUGGGUAAAGAAGCACCGGCUAACUACGUG